CUAAACCCUAAUUUUGGUGACUUCCUCAUCUCCUCUACGACGUCUCUGCCUCCUCCUCCUCCUCCUCCUCCUCCUCCUCUGCCUCUCCUCAUCUCCUCGAUGUCGUCUCCUCCACUGGACGCUCAGAUCGUCUCCUCCAUUGGACUCUCUUUGCCUCUUCUCAUCUCAUCGAUGUCUGGCAUCAGCUGCUCGCAAAUCCACCCCCUUGCCGCGAUCCACUGUCCCCGUUUGUCAUCCGAGCACCCCUCGGCAGCAAAUCUCGCACUUACACCCCGCCGCUUAUUCCCUACGACGCCAAACCACCCAAGCAUCGAAGGUCGGUCCCUGCUCCACCGUGCUGACAUUAGAAGCCCUCUACAGCAGAUCCCGAACACCGACGCUUGAGCCGCUCCUGCUCUGCUUCGUCUCACCAGAAGUUGCCACCGCCCCGCAACCUAACAUCAGCAACGCCGCGCAAUGCCCUCACCUCAUCUCCUUGACAUCGUUUCCUCCACUGGUUAGCUUUGACUCUCGUCAUCUCAUCAGCGUCGUCUCCUCCACUAGAUAGCUUGCGAAUUCGCGAUGAGCUGCUCGCAAAUUCGCCCCCUCGUUGUGACCCACUAGCUUGUCGUCUUAGCACCCCCGAUAACAGAUAUCGCGCCUACAUCCCCACCACUCGUUCCCCUGCGACGCCAGACCACCCAUCAUUUGAAGCUUGGUCCCUGCUCCACCGCGCUAACGCCAGAAGCCCUCUGCAGCAGAUCCCGAGCACCGACGCCUAAGCCGCUCCUGCUCUGCUCCAUCUCACCAGAAGCUGCCACCGCCCCGCGACCUGACAUCAACAACGCCACGCGACGCCCUUUCCUCAUCUCCUCGACGUCGUCUCCUCCACUAGUUAGCUUUGCCUCUCCUCAUCUACUCGACAUUGCCUCUCCUCAUCUCAUCGACGUCGUCUCCUCCACUGGAUAGCUUGUGAAUCCGCGACAAACUGCUCGCAAAUCUGCCCCCUCGCCAUGACCCACUAUCCCCGCUUGUUGUCCGAGCACCCCUCAGCAGCAGAUCUCGUGCCUGCACCCCCGUCGCUCAUUCCCCUGCGACGUUAGAUCGCCCACCAUCUGAAGCUCGAUCCUUGCUCCACCGCGAUGACGCCAGAAGCCCUCUGCAGUAGAUCCCGAGCACCGACGCUUAAGCCGCUCCUACUCUGCUCCGUCUCACCAGAAGCUACCACCACCCCGCGACUUGACAUCAGCAACGUCGCGCGACACUAUCUCCUCAUCUCCUCGACGUUGUCUCCUUUACUGGUUAGCUCUACCUCUCCCCAUCUCCUCAACAUUGCCUCUCCUCAUCUCAUCGACGUCGUCUCCUCCACUGGAUAGCUUGCGAAUCCGCAACAAGCUGCUGGCAAAUCCACCCCCUCACCACGACCCACUGUCCCAGCUUGUUGUUCGAGCACCCCUCAGUAACAGAUCUUGCGCUUGCACCCCCGCCGCUCGUUCCCCUGCGACUCCAGACUGCCCAGCAUCUGAAGCUCGGUCCUUGCUCCACCACGCUGACGCCAGAAGCCCUCUACAGCAGAUCCCAAGCACCGACGCCUAAGCCGCUCCUGCUCUACUCCAUCUCACCAGAAGCUAACACCGCCCCGCGACUUGACAUCAGCAACACCGCGUGACACCCUCUCCUCAUCUCCUCGACGUCGUCUCCUCCACUGGUUAUCUCUGCCUCUCCUCAUCUCCUCGACAUUGCCUCUCCUCAUCUCAUCAACGUCGUCUCUUCCAUUGGAUAGCUUGCGAAUCUACGAUGAGUUGCUCGCGAAUCCGCCCCCUCGCCACGAUCCAUUGUCCCCGCUUGUCGUUUGAGCACCCCUCGGCAGUAGAUCUCGCGCCUGCACCCCCGCCGCUCAUUCCCUUGCAACGCUAGACCGCCCAACAUUUGAAGCUCGGUCCUUGCUCCACGGCGUUGAUGCUAGAAGCCCUCUGCAGCAGAUCCCAAGCACCGACGCUUGAGCCGCUCCUGCUCUACUCCAUCUCACCAGAAGCUGCCACUACCCCGCGACUUAACAUCAGCAACGCCGCGCGAUGCCCUCUCCUCAUCUCCUCGACGUCGUCUCCUUCAUUGAAGUUGCCACCACCCCGCGACCUAACAUCAGCAACGCCGCGCGACGCCCUCUCCUCAUCUCCUCGAUGUCAUCUCCUCCACUAGUUAGCUCUGCCUCUCAUCUCAUCAACAUCGUCUCCUCCACUGAAUAGCUUGCGAAUCUGCGACGAGCUAGUGGCAAAUCCGCCCCCUCGCCGCGACCCACUAUACCAGCUUGUCGUUCAAGCAUCCUUCAGCAACAUAUCUCGUGCCUGCACCCCCGCCGCUUGCUCCCCUGCGAUGCCAGACCGCCCAGCAUUUGAAGCUCAGUCGCUACUCCACCGCGCUGAUGCCAGAAGCCCUCUGCAGCAGAUCCCGAGCACAGACGCCUGAGCCACUCCUACUCUGCUCCGUCUCACUAGAAGCUACCAUCGCCCCGCAACCUGACAUCAGCAAUGCUAUGUGACGCCCUCUCCUCAUCUCCUUGACAUCGUCUCCUUCACUGGUUAGCUCUACCUCUCCUCAUCUCCUCGACAUUGCCUCUCAUCAUCUCAUCAAAGUCGUCUCCUCCACUGGAUAGCUUGCGAAUCCGCGACGAGCUACUCGCGAAUCUGCCCCCUCAUUGCAACCCACUAUCCUCGCUUGUCGUCCGAGCACCCCUCGGCAGCAAAUCUCGCGCCUGCACCCUCGCCGCUCGUUCCCCUACGACGCCAGACCGCCUAGCAUCUGAAGCUCAGUCCCUACUCCACCACGCUGACACCAGAAGCCCUCUGCAAUAGAUCCCGAGCACCGACACCUGAGCCGCUCCUACUCUGCUUCGUCUCACCAGAAGCUGCCACUGCCCCACGACUUGACAUCAGCAACGCCGCGCAAUGCCCUCUCCUCAUCUCCUCGACGUCGUCUCGUCCAUUGGUAAUAUGGAGGGGGAUGAAAGUAGCAUGUAUAGUGAUCAAGUAGCAACAGGUGAAUCGGUUGAACUAGACAUUGAUGAUUUUGAUAAUGAUAUUGUGAUAGCAUAGUUGUGCAUGGUUGCGGUGGAUAUGUCUAUGCACUCGAGAGAACCUAUUAAGGAUAGCAUAUUGUCAGGAUCCGAAUGGAUGAGGGAGGUUUUUCAAGGACAUUAAGAUAGAAUAUAUGAUUUUUUUUUUAAUGGAGAGACACGUCUUUCUCAACCUUUGUGAUUUGAUGAAGGUAAGAGGUUGGCUGGAAAAUAGUCGAUAUAUAAAGGUAGAUGAACAAAUUAGGAUAUUCUUAUUUAUGAUUUGUCACAAGAACUCAAAUAGAAAUUUAUGCGAGAGAUUCCAACGUUCGGGACAAACUAUUAGCAAAUACUUCACUAUAGUGUUGAAAGCAGUUCUCGAACUUGCAAAAAAGAUUAUCAUACCACAUUCUUUUGAUGUGGUCUCAAAUGAGAUUCUUAUGGAUCUCAACCAUAAACUUUACUUCAAUGUAGGAUUUUCUUACAUUCAUUUACAAUAUCGGUUUUAUUUUGUUGUUAAUUUUAUAUAACACUAGUCUUUGAUAAAACGACAGGAUUGUGUGGGCACUAUUGAUGGUACUCAUGUUCAUGCUUCUAUUCCUGUGUCGAAGCAAAUUCCAUUUAGAGGCAGAAAAGAAAUUACCACUCAAAAUGUAAUGUGUGUAUGUUCGUUUGAUAUGAAAUUUACUUUUGUGUAUGCUGGUUGGGAAGGAUCUGCCAAUGAUUGAUGGGUGCUAUCAUUAGCACUCGAGACUCCUCGCUUGGAAUUUCCUCGACCACCACUAGGUAUUUACUUGUUCUAGAAUUAUCAAUUUUCUUUAAGAUUGUAUUGUAUUUACAAAUCACGACUAAUAUAUGAAUACCUUCUUAUAGGCAAAUACUAUGUUGUAGAUUCUAGUUAUGUAUCAAUUCCAGGAUUAUUAACUCCUUUUAGACGUGAACGGUAUCAUCUAAAUGAUUAUAGAGGUAGAGCAAGACAACCAAGAACAGCAAGAGAAUUAUUCAACUAUAGGCAUUCUUCGCUAAGGAAUGUCAUUGAGAGAUCAUUUGCGGCAUUAAAGAAUCGCUUCUUUAUUUUGAAACACAUGCCUACAUUUGCAAUUCGAAAGUAAGCACAUGUUGUAAUUGCAUGUUGUGCUAUCCAUAUACAUUCGUGAUCAAGACAGGAGGGAUAGAAACUUUUUCUUUUAUGGAGAUUCAAAGUACUCAUUUGAACCUACACAAGAUGAGGUUAUAGGGGAUACAUCGAUCGAGGAAGAAACUGAGAUGAAUAUGCUUAAAAAAAAUUAUUGCCGAUAAGAUGGCAAUGGAUCAUAAUAUGCCGGAGAUUCCAUGAAAUCGUUUUUUCAACUUUUGUAAUGUAUUUCUAUUAUUUUGUAUUUGGGGAUUUCCAAUCUUUGCUUUUGUAAUGUGAUACUGUGUUUGAUGAUUCCUAUCUCAAUUCUUGUAA